rnacentral:lncRNA from 1 species
CUGGGAGGGAGAUGGGUGAGGGAUAUGUUAAAUUAUCUUCAAACUGAAUUGUAAUUCCAAUACCUGAAUCUGGGUUUAAUCCAGAAAACCCAGACAGACCUGGAGUUUCUUCUAUGUGGGUACAUCUUGAGGGACAGAGCCUAUGGCCUGCUCCCUCCCUGUCUCCUCGCCUGUAAUUAGGUUGCUUCUCAGUGCCUGGCAUAUAAAGGGCUGGUACCGCAGAGGAGACAGAGGAGUGAGAAAACUGAUAAGCCAAUUUGCAGAUGACCCUUGUAGGAUGCAGGAGUUUGCAUCUCCGUGUCUGUGUCUGUACAUGCAAAGUGAAGGAUCAUGGAGGCAUCAUCAAAAGUCAUUGUGCACACAACUUUCUGCAGAUGCCAUCACCUGCCUGGGAUGCUGGAACCACAGACGCCAUCUUGGACUGUUGGGGAGCAGUUUGUUUAGGAGGAAAUGCCAGCACCCGAGGAUGGCAGAGCAGAAGUGAUGGAGACCUCACCGACUGCCUGAAUUAACCAAUCCUGGAAUUACACGCUGCUCUGGGCUUCUUGUUGCUUAUAAUGGACUGGUAAUUUGCAUGGAGCUACUCGGAGGAUUAACCGUGAUUACCCAGAGAAAGGACACCUUGCCUGGGCCGUUUCAAGUACUCCACACAUGUUCCUUGAUAUUAUUGAUCUCAUUCUUGCAACAUCAGCAUCUGUCCUGGUGGGUGCUCAAGUAAA